UCUAGACUACCCAAACAAACCAAAUACACCCAACACACCAAAUGCUUAAAAUCACCCUCUCACUUUCUAUUUAACAAUAACCCAAAAUGUUCCCUAAUUGUUAAACUGUUUAUUAACUAACAUAUUACAAUAGAAUACUUACCCUCAACCCCAUUCUUACUAAUCCAAUUGGUCAUCGGAGAAUAAUCAAAUGUUUGACGCAUCAAACUCACCAUAAGCGCCGGUGCAUAUGACUAGUCACAACUUGCUAGACCAGGCCAGGGCUGCUCUAUGAUCAGGGAUGCACCAACUCCAAUUUUUAAGAUUCUUCUAUCCUACCAACACAAUACUCUCAACAAGUCACAAUUAACAUGCCUAAAUUACCCUAACAUAAUGUAAGAGCCCCUAACCCCAAAUUUCUCAAAGUUAAUAAUUCACUUCCCUUGACACAACCUGAAACAAUACCUAUGCACAUACUUCCUACCCGUAUUCAUGUUAUUACCAAAUUCUUAUUCAAAAUCUUCCCCCACAUGCUCAAUCACAACCAACAUACUCAUCCAACGCAAUUCAUGUUUAAUACAUCCAAUUUCAUAAAUUCACAGAUUCAGUUAAAGCCACUCAACAUGCUAAAAAAAAAGAAUGCACUAUAGUAGUACAACAAGUUUAAAUAUAUCAAGCAGGCACAUCAUACAACUAAAGAGACAUAACUAGCUCCCCU
rnacentral:lncRNA from 1 species